rnacentral:rRNA from 1 species
ACCUAAAGCAACACUAAUUCACAUAAAUUAGCCCCCCCACUUUAGAGCAACUCAAAUGAGGUACAGCCCAUUUGACACAGAAUACAACCUUAACUAACGGGUAACAUCCAUACAGCAACUUCAAGUAGACCUAAGAGCAGCCACCUUUUGAAAAGCGUCAAAGCUUAAUCAUGCCCCCACCAAUUUUAAACCUUCCAUUGACCCCUUUAACUGUAUUGAGAAUUUCUAUAUUAUAUAGAACCUUUUAUGCUAAAACUAGUAACAAGAGAACACCCUCUCUUCAAUGCAACCAUAAGCCAGCAAGAACCCAUCACUGGCAACUAACAGACCUAAACUAAAAUAGCAACCCCCACUAGAAAAUCCUACUUAUUUUAACUGUUAACCUGACACCAGAGCAUUUCAAGAAGAUUAAAAGAAAAAGAAGGAACUCGGCAAACGAUAGUCCCGCCUGUUUACCAAAAACACCGCCUCUUGUUUUCAUAAGAGGUCCAGCCUGCCCAGUGACUCUGUUCAACGGCCGCGGUAUCCUAACCGUGCAAAGGUAGCGUAAUCACUUGUUUUCUAAAUAAAGACCAGUAUGAAAGGCAUCACGAGGACAAAACUGUCUCCUUUUUCUAAUCAGUGAACCUAAUCUCCCCGUGAAG